rnacentral:misc_RNA from 1 species
GAAAUGCGAUAAGUAAUGUGAAUUGCAGAAUUCCGUGAAUCAUCGAAUCUUUGAACGCACAUUGCGCCCUCUGGUAUUCCGGGGGGCAUGCCUGUCCGAGCGUCAUUGCGAACCCCUCAAGCACGGUUUGUGUGAUGGGCCCUCCCGCGUCUUGGUCGUCAAGACGGGCCCGAAAUGCAGUGGCGGCUUCGCGGUUGUCCGAUCAGCCAGAGCGUAUGGGGACUCUCUCUCUGUCACACGCCCGCGGCGCGGACCGACGCCUGUCGACCUUUAUUCAUCUUUUCUCGGUUGACCUCGGAUCAGGUAGGGAUACCCGCUGAACUUAAGC